UUCGAUUUCCCCUUUUUCGAUCUCGAUCCGGUGAUCUCUUCUGCAGAAAGGGCUUCUUCUCUGUGAUCUCGAGCCUCCCCUCGAUCCCUCUGCGGCUCCGCCUUCCGCCUCCAGGUGAGAAAGAAACAUGUCGAACGACUUGUCCAUGAACUCCUCGCCGCGCCGAGUGCACCACGCACCGUGUGCACUUUGCCGUUACUUGGAGCAAAUACGCCGCCGGGACUUCCCGCUCGCCGAUCACUUCCCGGCCAACCAGCCGAGAUGCUUCCUUUACGUGAGCAGAGUUUACGGCGCGCGUAACGUUGCGAGGAUGCUCCAGGAGUUGCCCCGAAGCCAGCGGACGGCAGCCGUGAAAUCCUUGAUCUAUGAUGCAGCCGUUCGCAUCCACUACCCCGUUCGUGGUGCCGCCGGGGUCGUCUCGGGCCUCCGGAGGCAGCUCAUGAAUCUGAGGGCGGAGAACGCGUCGCUGGGAAAUCAGCUCGCUCAGCUUCAGCAGCCUGCUGCGGCUGCCGCAGCAGCAAGCGAAGCACCUCGGCAAGGGAAAGGAAGCGGGCCACCUGGAGGCGAUCACCCCGGGGAACCAAGUUCUCCUUAGGACAACAAGCCUCCUCGCGUUGCACUCUCAGAGUCUUCUUGAAGGUUUAAAAAUAAGAUGUGAAAGGAGAUGGGGAUAAAAAGAGAAAUAUGCAUCCUCAGGUGUUAUUUUACAUUGUUGACCUGUUCCAGCAAAAGUUGAGGGCUUUUUACUCCUUUGUAAUUAAACAAUGAAGUUGCAUGUUGUGGGUGUUGUUAUACUUUUUCUACCAUUUAUCUGGUUAUCGGACUAUGUUGUGUUUAAGCAAUGCAAUAUGAUUAUGUGAUGUUAACUUGUCAU